UGCUGCGCAAUCAGCCGAAGCACAUGGUUUUGUGGUUCCCGGAUUACUAUUAUGAAAAUAAAUGUUUUGCGUUGCGUUCGGUACACAGAGGGUGUAAUGGCCGAACAGUUAUUGAAAUACGUCGCGGGGGCGAAACCUGGAAAGCGAGCGCCAACUCAAGUUUCUAUUUUCUGGUGGUUUGCUCUCUCUUUUGCGAUACAAAAGAGUCUGGAUCAGAUGAGGAAGCUGACUUGGAGGUCGAUGAGGAUGAAAUAAAUCAGAGAGUUUUAAUGUAUUCUCAAGAUUGUUGAAUAAAUGAAUGCUUCUUU